CACGUAGGGUGCAAGCGUUGUCCGGAAUCAUUGGGCGUAAAGAGCUCGUAGGCGGCUUAGUAAGUCGGGUGUGAAAACCCCAGGCUCAACCUGGGGACGCCACCCGAUACUGCUAUAGCUAGAGUCCAGUAGGGGAGUGUGGAAUUCCCAGUGUAGCGGUGAAAUGCGUAGAUAUCGGGAGGAACACCUGAGGCGAAGGCGGGCUACUGGGCCGAUACUGACGCUGAUGCGCGAAAGCCAGGGGAGCAAACGGG
rnacentral:rRNA from 1 species